rnacentral:rRNA from 1 species
AAGAGCUCGUAGGUGGUUCCGUAAGUCGCGAAGUCAAAUCUCUGGGCUCAACCCAGAAUCGCUUCCGAUACUGCGGUGACUGGAGUCCGGUAGGGGAGCGUGGAAUUCCUGGUGUAGCGGUGAAAUGCGCAGAUAUCAGGAGGAACACCAACAGCGAAGGCAGCGCUCUGGGCCGGUACUGACACUGAGGAGCGAAAGCGUGGGGAGCGAACAGGAUUAGAUACCCUUGU